UUCCUGGUAGCUCAGAUGGUAAAGCGUCUGCCUACAAUGCGGUAGACCCAGGUUCGAUCCCUGGGUCAGAAA
rnacentral:tRNA from 1 species